GUGGGGAAUCUUGCGCAAUGGGCGAAAGCCUGACGCAGCCAUGCCGCGUGAAUGAUGAAGGUCUUAGGAUUGUAAAAUUCUUUCACCGGGGACGAUAAUGACGGUACCCGGAGAAGAAGCCCCGGCUAACUUCGUGCCAGCAGCCGUGGUAAUACGAAGGGGGCUAGCGUUGCUCGGAAUUACUGGGCGUAAAGGGCGCGUAGGCGGACAGCUUAGUCAGAGGUGAAAGCCCAGGGCUCAACCUUGGAAUUGCCUUUGAUACUGGCUGUCUUGAGUUUGGGAGAGGUGAGUGGAACUCCGAGUGUAGAGGUGAAAUUCGUAGAUAUUCGGAAGAACACCAGUGGCGAAGGCGACUCACUGGCCCAAUACUGACGCUGAGGCGCGAAAGCGUGGGGAGCAAACAGGAUUAGAAACCCUUGUAGUCC
rnacentral:rRNA from 1 species